UCCAGACUCCUACGGGAGGCAGCAGUGGGGAAUAUUGCACAAUGGGGGAAACCCUGAUGCAGCGACGCCGCGUGAGUGAAGAAGUAUUUCGGUAUGUAAAGCUCUAUCAGCAGGGAAGAAGCAAGACGGUACCUGACUAAGAAGCCCCGGCUAACUACGUGCCAGCAGCCGCGGUAAUACGUAGGGGGCAAGCGUUAUCCGGAUUUACUGGGUGUAAAGGGGGCGCAGACGGCAGCGCAAGCCAGGAGUGAAAGCCCGGGGCCCAACCCCGGGACUGCUCUUGGAACUGCGCGGCUGGAGUGCAGGAGGGGCAGGCGGAAUUCCUGGUGUAGCGGUGAAAUGCGUAGAUAUCAGGAGGAACACCGGUGGCGAAGGCGGCCUGCUGGACUGCGACUGACGUUGAGGCCCGAAAGCGUGGGGAGCAAACAGGAUUAGAUGCCCGAGUAUU
rnacentral:rRNA from 1 species